rnacentral:rRNA from 1 species
UAGUCCACGCCGUAAACGAUGGUUACUAGCUGUUUGUUGGAAUUAACUGAUGAGUGGCUAAGCGAAAGUGAUAAGUAACCCACCUGGGGAGUACGUUGGCAACAAUGAAACUCAAAGGAAUUGACGGGGGCCCGCACAAGCGGUGGAGCAUGUGGUUUAAUUCGAUGAUACGCGAGGAACCUUACCAGGGCUUAAAUGCAGAUUGACAGGGAUGGAGACAUCUUUUUCUUCGGACAAUUUGCAAGGUGCUGCAUGGUUGUCGUCAGCUCGUGCCGUGAGGUGUCAGGUUAAGUCCUAUAACGAGCGCAACCCCUGUUGUUAGUUGCCAGCGAGUGAUGUCGGGAACUCUAACAAGACUGCCGGUGCAAACCGUGAGGAAGGUGGGGAUGACGUCAAAUCAUCACGGCCCUUACGUCCUGGGGCCACACACGUGCUACAAUGGGUAGGGGACAGAGAGCAGCCACACCGCGAGGGU